rnacentral:rRNA from 1 species
AUGCCACACAAGUGGAAGGACGCAUCUUUGGACAAGGUGAAGGAGAAGGAUGUGAAGAUUCCGCCAUGUUGGUGUGGAGAUGUUUGCAAGGUGAAGGAGUCCACCGACCGAAAGAAGUCAUGGACCGAAGGAAGGAGAUAUUUUGUUUGCCCCAAUUAUGCUUACGAUUGUGCGCUUCCAACUAACGCCUAUGACCUUCCACCGUCACCGCCUCCUCUAUGCAAGUACUUCAGCUGGAUAGAUCAUGAAAUGCCAAAAGAUAUCCAAAAGGACCAAUUAGAAGAUUGUUUUAGGCGCCAAUGGCUGUUCGAAGAAAGGUUUCAAAGAGGCUUGGAGGAAGAGCGUCGUCAAAAAGAGAGGAUGGAGCGGAAGCAAUGCGAGGAGGAGAGGGCACGCCAAGCGAAGCUUGCUCGUGAGGAGGAGAGGGCAAGAAAGCUUGCAAGAGCUCGCAAGGCACAAGAGGAGGAUGAGGCACGUGACAGGAAGGGGAAAUGGCCCCGUAUGACUCAGUAA